rnacentral:rRNA from 1 species
AGUGAACGCUGGCGGCAGGCCUAACACAUGCAAGUCGAACGGCAGCACAGUAAGAGCUUGCUCUUACGGGUGGCGAGUGGCGGACGGGUGAGGAAUACAUCGGAAUCUACUUUUUCGGGGGGGAUAACGUAGGGAAACUUACGCUAAUACCGCAUACGACCUACGGGUGAAAGCAGGGGAUCUUCGGACCUUGCGCGAUUGAAUGAGCCGAUGUCGGAUUAGCUAGUUGGCGGGGUAAAGGCCCACCAAGGCGACGAUCCGUAGCUGGUCUGAGAGGAUGAUCAGCCACACUGGAACUGAGACACGGUCCAGACUCCUACGGGAGGCAGCAGUGGGGAAUAUUGGACAAUGGGCGCAAGCCUGAUCCAGCCAUACCGCGUGGGUGAAGAAGGCCUUCGGGUUGUAAAGCCCUUUUGUUGGGAAAGAAAAGAAGCAGGUUAAUACCCCGCUGUUCUGACGGUACCCAAAGAAUAAGCACCGGCUAACUUCGUG